AUUGAGUUUGAUCCUGGCUCAGGACGAACGCUGGCGGCGUGCUUAACACAUGCAAGUCGAACGGAAAGGCCCUUCGGGGUACUCGAGUGGCGAACGGGUGAGUAACACGUGGGUGAUCUGCCCUGCACUUUGGGAUAAGCCUGGGAAACUGGGUCUAAUACCGGAUAUACCCUGCUGGUCGCAUGGCCUGGUGGGGGAAAGCUUUUGCGGUGUGGGAUGGGCCCGCGGCCUAUCAGCUUGUUGGUGAGGUUACGGAUCACCAAGGCGACGACGGGUAGCCGGCCUGAGAGGGUGACCGGCCACACUGGGACUGAGAUACGGCCCAGACUCCUACGGGAGGCAGCAGUGGGGAAUAUUGCACAAUGGGCGCAAGCCUGAUGCAGCGACGCCGCGUGGGGGAUGACGGCCUUCGGGUUGUAAACCUCUUUCAGUGGGGACGAAGCGCAAGUGACGGUACCUACAGAAGAAGGACCGGCCAACUACGUGCCAGCAGCCGCGGUAAAAUC
rnacentral:rRNA from 1 species